rnacentral:rRNA from 1 species
GAUGAACGCUGGCGGCGUGCUUAACACAUGCAAGUCGAACGGAAAGGCCCAAGCUUGCUUGGGUACUCGAGUGGCGAACGGGUGAGUAACACGUGGGUGAUCUGCCCUGCACUUCGGGAUAAGCCUGGGAAACUGGGUCUAAUACCGGAUAGGACCACAUUUUGGAUGGUGUGGUGGAAAGUUUUUCGGUGUGGGAUGAGAUCGCGGCCUAUCAGCUUGUUGGUGGGGUAAUGGCCUACCAAGGCGUCGGCGGGGAGCCGGCCCGGGGGGGUGUACCGCCCCAUUGGGACUUGGGUACGGCCCAGGCUCCCACGGGAGGGCGCAGGUGGGAAUAUUGCAAAAUGGGCGCGAGCCUGAUGCAGGGAAGCCGCGUGGGGGAUGACGGCCUUCGGGUUGUAAACUCCUUUCGCUAGGGACGAAGCGUUUUUGUGACGGUACCGGGAGAAGAAGCACCGGCUAACUACGG